CGAACGGGUGAGUAACGCGUGAGGAACCUGCCUCAAAGAGGGGGACAACAGUUGGAAACGACUGCUAAUACCGCAUAAGCCCACGGCUCGGCAUCGAGCAGAGGGAAAAGGAGCAAUCCGCUUUGAGAUGGCCUCGCGUCCGAUUAGCUGUUGGUGAGGUAACGGCCCACCAAGGCGACGAUCGGUAGCCGGACUGGGAGGUUGAACGGCCACAUUGGGACUGAGACACGGCCCAG
rnacentral:rRNA from 1 species